GUCGGAAGUGUGGCACAGACGCGUCUGCGCAUGCCCAGUGAAGCACCUGACGCUACAUCGACCUGCCAGCUGUUUUAAACGUGCGAGGCUUGCAGUGGUUACAUGGACGAUGGGACGCCUGGCCGAAAUAUGAAGACACAUCGUGGAGCAUGAGCAGCAUCACAACCGGUGUGGAGGCCCAGAAUUUCUGACAGCAUCCUUGAUCUGAGCCUGCAGCACCCAAGCCGGUGUUCACAGGGGGGUUUCGGUGUUUUCAGCACCGGCGACUGUAAGGGAAGCAAACUGUAAGCCCCGGAGAGACUGACCUCCCUCAAAGCGACGCUCAAAGUGGGCUUUCUGCAUUUGAUCGUGUCCCGUCUGCAGUUCAGCUGUGACAACACACGGCUUUAAUUUACUCUGAGGCAGUUUGCAGUACACAGUCUGGGUGUAGUGGAGAGUUAUCACUCUGACUUCCAAUUGUCAUGCUGCUGAAACAGAGCCUCAGGACUCAGAUCCCAAAUCUCUGUCAGAUGAAGCACAGUCUCCACAGCUGAUCUGCACCAAGCCCACUGCUAGCUUAUCACUGUGAGCUGAGAGGCUAGUCCUAUAGAGUGAAGGGUAAUGUCUUUAGUUAGAGGUAAUGAAAAUAUUCAAAAGUCAGGAUUAGCAGAAAUGAACAAAUUCUAAAAUUGGGAUUCUGAAAUCAGGCAGAAUACCAGUUUUCAGAUUUGUUUUCAAUUUUAUUAAUUAAAACAAGAGUGAAAAAAAUA